UGAGCACAGAGCGAACUAUUCUUUCGCCUUUUACUAAAGAAUACCGUGUGCUCGCCGCAAAGAACGGCAUACGCCAAUUUUUUGAGGGGAUUUCUUUGGGAGUUCCCUGCCAAAUCGAGUCCAAAAUCUAUUUAUUAGAAAAGUUUGUUAAUCUAUAUAACUAGCUAUAAUUUUCUUUUGGCUUUCGGUAUUUUUAUCCUCGCUAAAACUUGAUAUCUUGGACCAUCUUAAGAUUAAAGACUGCCGAGUUUACAACUACUAAAAAAAGUGCUGCACCAUCAGAGACUUUUUGAGGCACCAAAACACAAAAUAUACUGAGAUGAGUCCAAUGUUGCUUAACACUGUUUGACUUGAAAGAAGUGUUGCACCAUCUUUGAUGUCGUUGUCUUCUCAAUUGCUUAAUGAAUUUUUAUGCCAAGAUUAUAAGCAUCUUUUGGUUCCAUACAAGAACAGAAUUUUUGUAUCUUGGUUGGAGUUGGCUUCAUUCCUUGUUCGUUAUUCCAAUAAGCGAUUACUCAAAUCCACAAAUAAUACUUCAAGUUCUCCAAGAAUCCAAGAACACCUGAAAUUAAAGAGACAAUACAAGAAUACUCCCAAGCAGUCGUAUUUGGAUUCUCCAAGGGGUGAUCUCAAGAGACUGACUAAAGGUUUUGAAUUCAAGAUUUCCUGAAUAUUAUAUGGCUUGAAUUAGGAGUUCGACUCCUUGUUGGAUUUGGAUAAAAAAUGAAUUUUAUUCUUUUUGGGUUACUGUUAUUUGAAGUUAUCAAGUUUUAUCAGAAGUCUUGUCUACCACUUGAUUUUGAGUUCUAUUUGGAACAUAAGUGAUUUUUCUUUGUGUGUGGAAAAGAAGUCUAGUCCUUCUUGGUUUUAGAUAUGCUAGCCAACUCAAAUCUCCUAUACAAGCAUAGGGCUACUGUGGUUCUUUGAUAUUUGUGAGUUGUAAUUUGGAAUAGUGAGAGAGGUUUGUGGCCUCUUAGUUUUGGUUUCGUGGUUUGGUGAUUUGCUCUUUCUUGGUGUGUUGCAACUUUUGGAUUGGAUUUGUGUCUCUCUCUUUGGUUUGUGUGAAAUUCAUAUUUGGUAUUUGGUAUUUAUAUUUGGUAUUUGUGAACCUUUGGUUCUUUAGUUUGUAUCUGGUUCUUUAGUUUGUAUCUGGUUCUUUGGUUUAUAUUUGUGAAAGAGAGCUAUUUGGGUGUAUUUGGGAUUUGGGUUUAUGAGAGUGCAUUUACACCAAUUUGUAUUAUCCCAAAUUUAUUAAAGUGAAAUUUGUUCA